GUCACUUUGCCGGAGUGGUUAACGGGAUCGCCUGCUAUUCAUAGUAUGUUAGCGGUUGCUCAUUGAGCGCGAGUGUUCGAAUCGCUCAGGUGACG